UUUAAAGAGAGUUUGAUCCUGGCUCAGGACGAACGCUGGCGGCGUGCCUAAUACAUGCAAGUCGAACGAACGGAGGAAGAGCUUGCUCUUCCAAAGUUAGUGGCGGACGGGUGAGUAACACGUGGGCAACCUGCCUGUAAGUUGGGGAUAACUCCGGGAAACCGGGGCUAAUACCGAAUGAUAAAGUGUGGCGAAUGCCACGCUUUUGAAAGAUGGUUUCGGCUAUCGCUUACAGAUGGGCCCGCGGUGCAUUAGCUAGUUGGUAGGGUAAUGGCCUACCAAGGCAACGAUGCAUAGCCGACCUGAGAGGGUGA
rnacentral:rRNA from 1 species